AUUGAACGCUGGCGGAAUGCUUUACACAUGCAAGUCGAACGGUAGAGGGGGCAACCCCUCGAGAGUGGCGAACGGGUGAGUAAUAUAUCGGAACGUGCCCAGUCGUGGGGGAUAACGUAGCGAAAGUUACGCUAAUACCGCAUACGAUCUAAGGAUGAAAGCGGGGGAUCGCAAGACCUCGCGCGAUUGGAGCGGCCGAUAUCAGAUUAGGUAGUUGGUGGGGUAAAGGCCCACCAAGCCAACGAUCUGUAGCUGGUAUGAGAGGACGAGCGGCCACACUGGAACUGAGACACGGUCCAGACUCCUACGGGAGGCAGCAGUGGGGAAUUUUGGACAAUGGGCGAAAGCCUGAUCCAGCCAUUCCGCGUGCAGGAUGAAGGCCCUCGGGUUGUAAACUGCUUUUGUACGGAGCGAAAAGGCUCUCUCUAAUACAGGGGGCUCAUGACGGUACCGUAAGAAUAAGCACCGGCUAACUACGUGCCAGCCGCCGCAGUAA
rnacentral:rRNA from 1 species